GUUAACGGUCAAACUACGCAUGUACAAUACCGGUUCUCGUCCGAUCACCAAAGUCAAGAUGCGUUGCGCACGGUUAGUACUUAGAUGGGUGCCGCUUGGGAACUCCGUGUGCUGUUGGCA
rnacentral:rRNA from 1 species